UUUUCUCUUUAUAGAAAUAAGAAAGGAAAAAACGUGCAGAAGAUAGAAUGGGAGGAAAGAGAACUCAGAUCUUUGGGUGACUGAAAUAUGUAACCACCAACUUUUGUUAAACCCACAGAAUGGAAAAAACAAGUAAUCCAGGGAAGAAGAUACACCUGGGCAAUACCAAUGUGUACAAUGAAUAGUCUACAAAGAAGACAGAAAAUGAGAAUAAGUAGACAU
rnacentral:lncRNA from 12 species